rnacentral:tRNA from 1 species
UGGGGUGUGGCUCAGGGGGAGAGCACUUGCCUAACACGGCCUGGGUUCAAUCCCCAGCACCGCAA